rnacentral:rRNA from 1 species
AUGUUGGCCGGGCGACGGUUGUCCCGGUUUAAGCGUGUAGGCUGGUUUUCCAGGCAAAUCCGGAAAACUAAGGCUGAGGCGUGAUGACGAGGCACUACGGUGCUGAAGCAACAAAUGCCCUGCUUCCAGGAAAAGCCUCUAAGCAUCAGGUAACAUCAAAUCGUACCCCAAACCGACACAGGUGGUCAGGUAGAGAAUACCAAGGCGCUUGAGAGAACUCGGGUGAAGGAACUAGGCAAAAUGGUGCCGUAACUUCGGGAGAAGGCACGCUGAUAUGUAGGUGAAGUCCCUCGCGGAUGGAGCUGAAAUCAGUCGAAGAUACCAGCUGGCUGCAACUGUUUAUUAAAAACACAGCACUGUGCAAACACGAAAGUGGACGUAUACGGUGUGACGCCUGCCCGGUGCCGGAAGGUUAAUUGAUGGGGUCAGCGCAAGCGAAGCUCUUGAUCGAAGCCCCGGUAAACGGCGGCCGUAACUAUAACGGUCCUAAGGUAGCGAAAUUCCUUGUCGGGUAAGUUCCGACCUGCACGAAUGGCGUAAUGAUGGCCAGGCUGUCUCCACCCGAGACUCAGUGAAAUUGAACUCGCUGUGAAGAUGCAGUGUACCCGCGGCAAGACGGAAAGACCCCGUGAACCUUUACUAUAGCUUGACACUGAACAUUGAGCCUUGAUGUGUAGGAUAGGUGGGAGGCUUUGAAGUGUGGACGCCAGUCUGCAUGGAGCCGACCUUGAAAUACCACCCUUUAAUGUUUGAUGUUCUAACGUUGACCCGUAAUCCGGGUUGCGGACAGUGUCUGGUGGGUAGUUUGACUGGGGCGGUCUCCUCCUAAAGAGUAACGGAGGAGCACGAAGGUUGGCUAAUCCUGGUCGGACAUCAGGAGGUUAGUGCAAUGGCAUAAGCCAGCUUGACUGCGAGCGUGACGGCGCGAGCAGGUGCGAAAGCAGGUCAUAGUGAUCCGGUGGUUCUGAAUGGAAGGGCCAUCGCUCAACGGAUAAAAGGUACUCCGGGGAUAACAGGCUGAUACCGCCCAAGAGUUCAUAUCGACGGCGGUGUUUGGCACCUCGAUGUCGGCUCAUCACAUCCUGGGGCUGAAGUAGGUCCCAAGGGUAUGGCUGUUCGCCAUUUAAAGUGGUACGCGAGCUGGGUUUAGAACGUCGUGAGACAGUUCGGUCCCUAUCUGCCGUGGGCGCUGGAGAACUGAGGGGGGCUGCUCCUAGUACGAGAGGACCGGAGUGGACGCAUCACUGGU